CAGUCGCCGCGGGAAUACGAAGGGUGCAAGCGUUACUCGGAAUUACUGGGCGUAAAGCGUGCGUAGGUGGUGGUUUAAGUCCGUUGUGAAAGCCCUGGGCUCAACCUGGGAAUUGCAGUGGAUACUGGGUCACUAGAGUGUGGUAGAGGAUAGUGGAAUUUCCGGUGUAGCAGUGAAAUGCGUAGAGAUCGGAAGGAACAUCUGUGGCGAAGGCGACUAUCUGGGCCAACACUGACACUGAGGCACGAAAGCGUGGGGAGCAAACAGGAUUAGAGACCCCUGUAGUCCCUGUCUCUUAUAC
rnacentral:rRNA from 1 species